ACGUAGGACGCAAGCGUUAUCCGGAGUUACUGGGCGUAAAGCGCGGGCAGGCGGUCGGGUCAGUUUGAGGUGAAAGCGCUCGGCUCAACCGGGCGAGGCCCUUGAACACUACCCGACUGGAGGGCAGCAGAGGCAGGCGGAAUUCCGGGUGGAGUGGUGAAAUGCGUAGAGAUCCGGAGGAACACCAGAGGCGAAGGCGGCCUGCUGGGCUGCACCUGACGCUGAGCCGCGAAAGCCAGGGGAGCGAACGGGA
rnacentral:rRNA from 1 species